rnacentral:lncRNA from 10 species
GAAUUCAUCACCUAUGAAUUCCAGUCACUCUGUGAAGAUGACUUGCUUUGGGGAGGCACUACCUACCUCUGUGCAAUCUAUAAGCAUCUCCUGUCCUAGGCUGUGAGCUCCCUGGAUGGGGGAGUGGCUGCAGCAUGUGCCUCAGGUCCCAAGGAGGGCCAUUAGCAGCUCCAAGGUCAGAAAUAGAACCCAGGUUUCCUGCCCUCCAGCCCGUCUCCGGCGGUGAGGGAGCCCGGCUUCCUCCCAGAGGUAACUUUAGUGAGUCUCUACUGUAUGCACUGGGCAUCCACACCCACCAUCUCAGUCCAUGUGAACAACACGUGGAAGGCAGUGACUUUGAUCUGUUUUGAGCAUUGCUGCAACUCCACAACAGAAAACACACAGUAGGUACUAAUAAAUCUGCGGACUCACGGACAAACCAAAUGAAUGAACCUGCCCAACAGCCCUGAGGUGGAAAUUAACCCACCUGACAGAAGAAAGCUAACUUCAGAAGGAGACUUGCCCAAGAUUACACAGCUUGAAAGUGCCAGAAUUACCUCUAGUCCUCAGUUCCCAUUAAUACGACAGAGGCCAUAACACUUCAUCCUAAGGGAAAGAGGGGACUAGGUCACACGGGCCCUGAAAUCCGUUCCAAGACACCCCUGUCCCUGCAGAACAAUCCCUCCAAGAAUUAGUUCUCUCCGCUAUGAAAUGGGAGCAAAAGGCCGGGCAUGGUGGCUCACGCCUGUAGUCCCCGCACUUUGGGAGGCAGAGGCAGGCGGAUCACCUGAG